AUUGAACGCUGGCGGCAUGCCUUACACAUGCAAGUCGAACGGCGGCACGGGAGCAAUCCUGGUGGCGAGUGGCGAACGGGUGAGUAAAGUAUCGGAACGUGCCCAGCCGUGGGGGAUAACGUAGCGAAAGUUACGCUAAUACCGCAUACGAUCUAUGGAUGAAAGCGGGGGAUCGCAAGACCUCGCGCGAUUGGAGCGGCCGAUAUCAGAUUAGGUAGUUGGUGGGGUAAAGGCUCACCAAGCCGACGAUCUGUAGCUGGUCUGAGAGGACGACCAGCCACACUGGGACUGAGACACGGCCCAGACUCCUACGGGAGGCGGCAGUGGGGAAUUUUGGACAAUGGGCGAAAGCCUAAUCCAGCCAUGCCGCGUGCAGGAUGAAGGCCUUCGGGUUGUAAACUGCUUUUGUACGGAACGAAAAGGUUUGGGCUAAUAAGCUGAGCUCAUGACGGUACCGUAAGAAUAAGCACCGGCUAACUACGUGCCAGCAGCCGCAGUAA
rnacentral:rRNA from 1 species